rnacentral:SRP_RNA from 13 species
UCUGGGCAUGGUGGCGCGUGCCCGUAAUCCCAGCUACUCGGGAGGUUGAGGCAGGAGAAUUGCCUGAAACCAGGAGGCGGAGGUUGCAGUGAGCCGAGAUCGCGCCAUUGCACUCCAGCCUGGGUAACAAGAGCUAAACGCUGUCUCAAAAAAAAAAAAAAAAAAAAAGGUCUGUGAGUCUUCUUUUUUUAUUUUUAUUUUUGUUUUUUUUUUUUGAGAUGGAGUCUUGUUCUAUCCCUCAGGCUGGAGUGCAAUGGCACAAUCUCGGCUCACUGCAACCUCCGCCUCCUAGGUUCAAGCCAAUUCUCCUGCCUCAAU